rnacentral:rRNA from 1 species
UACGUAGGGUGCGAGCGUUGUCCGGAAUUAUUGGGCGUAAAGAGCUUGUAGGCGGUUUGUCGCGUCUGCCGUGAAAAUUCGAGACUCAACCUCGAACUUGCGGUGGGUACGGGCAGACUAGAGUGUGGUAGGGGAGACUGGAAUUCCUGGUGUAGCGGUGAAAUGCGCAGAUAUCAGGAGGAACACCAAUAGCGAAGGCAGCUCGCUGGGACGUUACUGACACUGAGGCGCGAAAGCGUGGGGAGCAAACAGG